GAGUAUGUGCCAAAUCUACUAGACAUUGGAGAAACAGUAGGAACAACACAUGGUACCGGCACAUGGAUCUUUCAGGAAAACGAAGUAGGUAAUAAACAGGAAAAAGCCCGAGUCUGAUGCUAAGAAGAACAUAAACAGGAUGCUGAGAGAUUGGGUCUCUCCACAUUGCCCCGGCUGCUCUCCAACCCCUGAGUUCAAGUGAUUCACCUCCCUUGGCCUCCCAAAGUACUGGGAUUACAGGCGUGAGCCACCGUGCCUGGCUGAGAAGAUGGAUUUAAGACAUAUUUUGGAGGUAACAUUGUCAGGACUUCCUGAAGGAUUAGAUGUGGAAGGGAAGGAUAAGAAACAGACCAAGGAUAACUUUCAAAUGUAUGCUUAAGCAACUGGAUGGAUAAUGAUGCCAUUGAGUGAGUGAAAAACUUGAUGGAAGUGGAAGAUUCAGAGUUCAUUUCUAUCUAGGUUAAUUUGAGACAUACCAGAGCAUAAGUUAAGUAAGUAAUUGAAUAUUGGAGUGGAGACUUAUUUGUCUACCGAAUUAUUGUUUUCUUUGUCGGACAUACACCUACACUGCAUUCCUCAAAGUAAAAUUUAAGUGUGGCUCUGUGCCUAUGCUCUCCCCAGCGGAAAGUGACCAGAAGAGGUGUGCAGUUUCCAGGCCUGGCCCAUACAGACCUCCAACAGGUGCUCCCCUGUGCUGUUACUCCUUCUGCCAACUGGAAGCAGAUGGUGACCAGGCUCUGGAGAAGGCAAGGCCUGAAGAUGGGAGAUUCCUAAGUGGAGGAGAACUGUGCCUUACUGACCUAAAUAUCCACUCAGUAUUGUUAUGUGAGAAUAAAUAAACUUGUGUUGACC
rnacentral:lncRNA from 1 species